rnacentral:rRNA from 1 species
GAUGAACGCUGGCGGCGUGCCUAAUACAUGCAAGUCGAGCGAACGGACGAGAAGCUUGCUUCUCUGAUGUUAGCGGCGGACGGGUGAGUAACACAUGGAUAACCUACCUAUAAGACUGGGAUAACUUCGGGAAACCGGAGCUAAUACCGGAUAAUAUUUUGAACCGCUUGGUUCAAAAGUGAAAGACGGUCUUGCUGUCACUUAUAGAUGGAUCCGCGCUGCAUUAGCUAGUUGGUAAGGUAACGGCUUACCAAGGCAACGAUGCAUAGCCGACCUGAGAGGGUGAUCGGCCACACUGGAACUGAGACACGGUCCAGACUCCUACGGGAGGCAGCAGUAGGGAAUCUUCCGCAAUGGGCGAAAGCCUGACGGAGCAACGCCGCGUGAGUGAUGAAGGUCUUCGGAUCGUAAAACUCUGUUAUUAGGGAAGAACAUAUGUGUAAGUAACUGUGCACAUCUUGACGGUACCUAAUCAGAAAGCCACGGCUAACUACGUG